UCUGGCUCGCGUUACCUUAGCAGCCUAGCCGAAGCAAUAUUGAAGUUGCUGUCUAACGGUUGUUUCGCUGAAAUAAGGAUUCGUCAAGUGCUUGGAGACAGUCCUAGCACAAGCAAAGCUUUGAGAAUGCUGUUAAGGCAAGAAGAAGUGAAAAGAUCUGGCAGAGGAGGGAGGCAUGACCCAUAUAUUUACAAGGUACGCGGUUCUUCUCAUAAAAUCUUUUUACCGCUUCUGACAUUUCAAUGAAGUGAUUAAUUUAUAAAAUUAACACUAAAAAUGUUACUGCCAUGUGUCAUAAUUGUAAUCAGUGACCUCUCCUUUUGCAGAUAGCAUGAAAAAUUAUAUAGGGAGCUUGACCUAGUUAUACUAUAUAACUACAGGUCAUCUUUCUAGGGUUUAUCCGUCCCACCACCAAGGGAAAUUUUGGUCAGCGAAUAUAUAUGAAAGUGAAAUAGGAAAUAUUGGUAUAUGAUUAAUUAGGCUGGUAGCAUAACAUAGAGCAGCAUAAUAGUCUCAUUGCCUUUAGCUGUUGUUUCUGCCCGGAAUUACAUAAAAGAUGUAAAAAAAGGGAACCGAGUGACACCAGCAUUACACCACUAUAUACACUAGGAUGGCGGUGGCGGUGGCGGUGCCUUGCCGUAUACAUUAUAGUUAACUGAACAUUUUCCCUAUAUUGAUAUGUGCUAUUGUUUUUCUUGCUGAGCCUAGAGUUGGGCUUUGGCCAUAUACCUCUUUUGAGAAAGCUUUGUUCAUAUACUUGAAAUUAAUAGACUGAGGAAUAAUUUCAGCUUAAAUUGAAUGCAAGUCAGUAUUAUGCACGAUUGAUAACUGUUGGAGGGGAGCCAUGGCCCAUAUAUAUUCCUUGAAUUGUUGUUAAGGAUGAUUUUGAUGUGAUGAGAAGGAAUGAGCAUGAUGCAAGGAAUAACCGUGGCUCUUUCUUUCUUUAUAAGAAUAAAAAAUAGAUGACACUUCACAUUCUACAAAUUUCAUUUCCUGUCUCUGUGAACUCUUUAUGCUUUCUUUUAAUCAUAUAUCCCAGGAUAGUUCUUUCCCCCCCUAGUCCCUGAUAUUCCUGCGGACACGAUUCUUUAUUGUUUCCUUCUUGCUCACGAGCUGCUCUUUGCUUUCUACCAAUGCAAGCAACUUGAUUAACAGUUGUUGGGCUGUAAUCUUGUGGCCUUUUGUUUAUCUGAAUGGCCAGCUAUGAAAGUUUUUGUUUUAUAUUGUUAGGCUACUUGUUAGAACAAAUUUUUUAUAAAAAUAAUAUAAUAGUAUUUUUUAUAUUU